rnacentral:rRNA from 1 species
UUGUCGGAGGGUUUGAUCCUGGCUCAGAAUUAACGAUGGCGGCGUGCCUAACACAUGCAAGUCGAGCGAGAAAGCUUGGGCAACCGAGCGAGUAAAGCGGCAAAAGGGUGAGUAAUACAUGAAUAACCUACCUUUCAGAGGAGGAUAACUCCGGGAAACUGAAGAUAAUACUCCGUAUUUUUUUUGAAUCACAUGGUUUAAAAAAGAAAGUUGGCCUCUGCUUGCAAGCUAACGCUGGAAGAGGGGUUCAUGUCCUAUCAGCUAGUUGGUGAGGUAAUGGCUCACCAAGGCUAUGACGGGUAGCCGGCCUGAGAGGGCGAACGGCCACACUGGAACUGGGACACGGUCCAGACUCCUACGGGAGGCAGCAGUGGGGAAUUUUUGGCAAUGGGCGAAAGCCUGACCGAGCGACGCCGCGUGGACGAUGAAGGCCUUCGGGUUUUAAAGUCCUGUCAGGGGAGAAGAAUGUUUUUAUCUUGAAUAAAGAUAAAAAUUGACAGUAUUCCCAGAGGAAGCUCCGGCUAACUCCGUGCCAGCAGCCGCGGUAAAACGGAGGGAGCAAUCGUUAUUCGGAUUUACUGGGCGUAAAGAGCACGUAGGUGGCUGAAUAGGUCAUAUGUUAAAGACCUUCGCUUAACGAAGGAAAAGCAUAUGAAACCAUUUAGCUUGAGUUCAGGGGAAGUAGAUGGAAUUCCCGGUGGAGCGGUGAAAUGCGUAGAUAUCGGGAAGAACACCUGCGGCGAAAGCGAUCUACUAAACUGAUACUGACACUGAGGUGCGAAAGCUAGGGGAGCAAACAGGAUUAGAUACCCUGGUAGUCCUAGCUGUAAACGAUGAACACUAGGUGUGCCUACCUUUGGUCGGCGUGCCGAAGCUAACGCUUUAAGUGUUCCGCCUGGGGAGUACAGUCGCAAGGCUGAAACUCAAAGGAAUUGACGGGGACCCGCACAAGCGGUGGAGCAUGUGGUUUAAUUCGAUGCAACGCGAAGAACCUUACCUGGGCUUGAAGAGUAGGACGAAAAUUCUUAGAAAUAAGAAUGUGAUCCUUUGGAUCACGCCCUAUAGAGGUGCUGCAUGGUUGUCGUCAGCUCGUGUCGUGAGAUGUUGGGUUAAGUCCCGCAACGAGCGCAACCCUUGCCUUUAGUUGCCAGCGGUGCGGCCGGGCACUCUAAAGGGACUGCCGGUGAUAAACCGGAGGAAGGUGGGGACGACGUCAAAUCAUCAUGGCCUUUAUGUCCAGGGCUACACACGUGCUACAAUGGUUGGUACAGAGGGUUGCAAUACCGUGAGGUGGAGCCAAUCCCUAAAGCCAACCUCAGUUCGGAUUGUAGUCUGCAAUUCGACUACAUGAAGGCGGAAUCGCUAGUAAUCGCAGAUCAGCAGGCUGCGGUGAAUACGUUUCUGGGUCUUGUACACACCGCCCGUCACACCACGAAAGUUGAUUGUACCUGAAGUCGCUGGGCUAAUCCGCAAGGAAGGCAGGCGCCGAAUGUAUGGUUAGCAAUUGGGGUGAAGUCGUAACAAGGUAGCCGUAGGGGAACCUGUGGCUGGAUCACCUCCUUU